CAACAUGCUAAUUCAUGUUGAAAUUAUACUAACAACAUGUUAAUUCAUGCUAGAAUCAUGCUAACAACAUGCUAAUUCAUGCUAGAAUCAUCCUAACAUGCUAAAAUCAUGCUAAUCCAUUGUAGAAUCUUGCUAUAUAGCCUACUAAUCCAUACUAGAGUCAUGCUAACCUAAAUGUACUUAUCUGUCUAUAAAAACUGUUUCAAACUUCUGCUUUAAUUGUUUGAACUUUAAAACUACUUCAAAGAGCGACGCGGUGGCUCAGUGGUCUGUACUGUCGCCUUACAACAAGAUGGUCGCUGGUUUGAGUCUCGGCUGGGCCGGUUUGCAUGUUCUCCCCGUGUUGGAGUAGGUUUUCCCAGGAUGCUCCGGUUUCCCCCACAGUCCAAACAGGAUUAUUCAGGAUGUACAUAUGUAAAAAAUGGCAGAUUACAAAGAGCACAGUAGUUUUCCUCCCACCCCUACUGUUAAUAUGACAUGAAGUGUGCAGGAGGAUCUCUCCGCUCAGUCUUCAUGGAAAAUGCAGAUGUGGAUGCAGACGGUGUUCAGUCUGCCGGAUGCGACUUCUCGUCUCCAUGGAGACACACACAGACGUUUUCCUGAAUGCAUUCAUUUACUCAGUGAGGAGGGGACAGAGCGGAGAGAGAUCCGAGAGCCCUUGAGGACAGCACACGACUGCACCGUUCAUCAACUCCACCUGAAUCAGACAGCAUCAUCUCACAUUGAACAUUCAGGAUACACACCUGACUUUCACUGCACAAACAUAACAUAAACUGUAAGAAUGAAACCUGCUGCACACAAUCUACUACAAGCCUUAUGUCAUCUCAAUGGUCGUUAAAGUGCCUGAUUAUGGAUUUUUAAAUGUACCUUUUCCACGGUGUAGCAGACUAAACAAUACAGACUCAACAGUCAUAAGAGACUGGGUCAUCUGACUACUUACAAGAGACUGGGUCAUCGGACCAAUCACAACAGACUGGGUCAUCUGACUACUUACAAGAGACCGGGUCAUCAAACCAAUCACAACAGACUGGGUCAUCUGACUACUUACAAGAGACUGGGUCAUCUGACUACUUACAAGAGACUGGGUCAUCGAACCAAUCACAACAGACUGGGUCAUCUGACUACUUACAAGAGACUGGGUCAUCGAACCAAUCACAACAGACUGGGUCAUCUGACUACUUACAAGAGACUGGGUCAUCGAACCAAUCACAACAGACUGGGUCAUCUGACUACUUACAAGAGACUGGGUCAUCGGACCAAUCACAACAGACUGGGUCAUCUGACUACUUACAAGAGACUGGGUCAUCGGACCAAUCACAACAGACUGGGUCAUCGGACCAAUCACAAGAGACUGGGUCAUCUGACUACUUACGAGAGAUUGGGUCAUCAGACUAAUCACAACAGACUGGGUCAUUGGACCAGCCACAAGAGUUCGGCCAUCAGACCCAUCACAACAGACAGAGUCAUCUGACCACUCAUAAGAGACUGGGUCAUUGGAGCCAUCACAACAGACUGGGUAAUCAGACCAAUCAGAACAGACUGGGUCAUCGAACAAGUAACAAUUAACUGGGUCAUUGGAUUAAUCAAAACAAACAGGCUCAUCAGACCAAUCACAACAGACUAACUCAUCAGACCAGUCACAACAAACUGGGUCAUCGGACACAUCACAACCAACUGGUCAAGGAAGCAAUCACAUCAAACUGGUUCAUUGGAACCAUCACAGCAGACUGGGUCAUCAAACCAAUCACAACAGUCUGGGUCAUCAGACCAAUCACAACAGUCUGGGUCAUUAGACCAAUCACAACACACUGGUUCAUCGGACCAAUCACAACAAAAUGGGUCAUUGGACAAAAAACAACAAAUUGGGUGAUCUGACCGAUCAACACAGACUGGGUCAUUGGAGCCAUCACAACAAACUGGGUAAUUGGACCAAUCAGAACAGACUGGGUCAUCGAACAAAUAACAAAUGACUGGGUCAUUGGAUUAAUCAAAACAAACAGGGUCAUUGAACCAAUCACAACAGAUUGGUUCAUCAGCCCAAUCCCAACAGACUGGGUCACUGGACCAAUCACAACAGACUGGGUCAUUGGACCAAUCACAACAAACCAGGUCAUUAGACCAACCACAACAGACCGGGUCAUUGGACCAAUCACAACAGACUGGGCCAUUAGACCAAUCAGUGCAGACUGGGUCAUCAGACCAGAUACAACAUCCAACAAAAUGGGUCAUCGGACAAAUAACAACAAACUGAGUGAUCUGACCAAUCACAACAGACCAGGUCAUUAGACCAAUCACAGCAGACCGGGUCAUUAGACCAACCACAACAGACUGGGUCAUUGGACCAAUCACAACAGACUGGGUCAUCAGACAAGUCACAACAAACUGGGUCAUUAGACCAAUCACAGUAGACUGGGACACACAAAGAAAGUGUUUGGAAAAGUGAAUAUCGUCAUGAAGGUUGCUUUGACCCAGUCAGCAUUGUAUGAAACACUACAGGAAUACAGGGGACUUGACUUAGCUGUAAAUAAGAUCACAAGUGAGUGUAAACAUGAAUAUGUGUUUCAGCUGAGGUGUUACAGCAGAAACGUCUUCUCGCUCUGCACUCAUGCUGCGUUUAACAGCCGUGAUGUGAGAAACUCAAUCGCAUCAGCAGGCUUCAGUCCAGCUCCUGAAACGUUUCACCGUCGUGUUAACAAAUAUCCACUUAACAGAUCACCCAUAAACCAGCGGAAGCAGCAAUAAACACAGCAAACCUCUCGCCAUCCACACGAGAUCUCAGUUAAAAUGAACACCAUUUGCUUUAGACCAAAUAAGAAAAGGAUCAUUCAGACAGUCAUAGUCCAGUUACCAGCAACAAGUUCAUAAGCCAGGCUCUGUCAAGGUAUGGAGUUGUGUCAGUGCCCUUGGCAAAGGUAACUUGCACUUCUGUAAUUCUCCAUUAUUGCUAAAAAGUACACAGAGAUUUUGGAGAACAAUCUGCUGCCUUCUUUUCCAGCAACGCCCAUGCAUAUUUCAACAAGACCAUGCACCAUUCUGCACACAUUACAAAGUCCUGCCUGCGGAGGAAGAGGAUACAGGUACUUGAAUGGCCUGCCUGCAGUCCCGACCUGUCACCAACAGAGAAUGAAUGGCACAUUUUGAAGCGCAAAAUGCGAUGACGAAGACCCCGUACUGUUGCCCACAUUAAGACUUUUUAGCAGGAAGAAUGGGACAAAAUUACACCUGAAACACUUCAUCACCUGCAUUCUUCAGUCCCUAAACCUCUUGUAAAGUGUUGUGAAAAUUAACGGCAACAUUACAAAGUGGUAAACGCUUUACUGUUGUAAUGUUUUUUUUUUAAA